rnacentral:rRNA from 1 species
GUUUACGUCCCCCUGCCUUUGUACACACCGCCCGUCGCUACUACCGAUUGAUGGCUCAGUGAGGCGUCCGGACUGGCCCAGAGAGGCGGGCAACUGCCACUCAGGGCCGGAAAGCUCUCCAAACUCGGUCAUUUAGAGGAAGUAAAAGUCGUAACAAGGUCUCCGUUGGUGAACCAGCGGAGGGAUCAUUA